rnacentral:rRNA from 1 species
GAUGAACGCUGGCGGCGUGCCUAAUACAUGCAAGUCGAGCGAACAGACGAGGAGCUUGCUCCUCUGACGUUAGCGGCGGACGUGUGAGUAACACGUGGAUAACCUACCUAUAAGACUGGGAUAACUUCGGGAAACCGGAGCUAAUACCGGAUAAUAUAUUGAACCGCAUGGUUCAAUAGUGAAAGACGGUUUUGCUGUCACUUAUAGAUGGAUCCGCGCCGCAUUAGCUAGUUGGUAAGGUAACGGCUUACCAAGGCAACGAUGCGUAGCCGACCUGAGAGGGUGAUCGGCCCCACUGGAACUGAGACACGGUCCAGACUCCUACGGGAGGCAGCAGUAGGGAAUCUUCCGCAAUGGGCGAAAGCCUGACGGAGCAACGCCGCGUGAGUGAUGAAGGUCUUCGGAUCGUAAAACUCUGUUAUUAGGGAAGAACAAAUGUGUAAGUAACUAUGCACGUCUUGACGGUACCUAAUCAGAAAGCCACGGCUAACUACGUG